CCUAUUCUCUCAGCACCACAAGACGCAGCCAUGCACCCUCAGUCCCCCUCACGGCUCACGAAUGGUGUCGCCACAUUUCCUAUCUCAGCCCUCUCUCUGCCGCGCCUCUCACCAUUUGCCAUCACCCUUUCCCUCUCAACCCUCUAUUUGUCUCUCACCAGCCACCGUCAUGGCUUUCGUCACCACUCACCAGCCUCAGAGUCACGACGGUGCUAUGCUGCUUCUCGCCUCUCGGUGAUGAUGAGUUGACGGCCCUCAGUGACAACGAACGCGAAGUGCGACGGCGCUUCUCUGACCCUCAACGAUGACUAAUUUUCCUGUCUCGGUCACGACGGUGUUGUCCCCAGUCGUCCUCUUCUUCUCUGCCGCUAGUCUUCUUCUUCUUCUUCUCUUUUUUGACCUCUGCUCAAACUCAGGUUUUCAGGUACUGUGGCUGCUGGGUUAAGGGGUUGUUGGUUUACGGACUACUCUGGCCGAGGAUCAUGAUGCGGAACAGGCCAAGGAUUUGCUUCGGUGCUUCAACGAAAGUGCCAUGAAUGGCAGGCACAAGGUUGAGAAAAAAGAGUUGUUGCAGUUGGGAGCUCCUGAGAUUGUUCCAGAUUAUCCAAUUCUUUCUGUUGACGACCUAGCAGAUCAAAUAGCCGAGGUUCUCAACUUUUUUGGUCUUAGUGCAGUAAUGUGCAUGGGAGUAGCUGCCGGGGCUUACAUUCUUACCUUAUUUGCUAUGAAGUAUAGACAACGUGUACUUGGUUUGAUACUUGUUUCACCUCUAUGCAAAGAACCAUCUUGGACUGAGUGAUUGUGCAACAAGGUCAUGUCAAAUUUACUCUAUUUUUGUGGCAUGUGUGGGGUGGCAAAGGAAAUGUUGCUGAAGCGGAACUAUAGCAAGGACAUUCGAGGUGGUGCUCAAUUCCCAGAGUCAGAUAUAGUUAAAGCUUGCCGAAGGGUUAGUGAAUAUUUUUUGUUGUUGUACAACAACUCUAUUAUUUCUGUUUCAUUAGUGCUUCUGAUCACUCUUGCUGGUUUCAUUAGUGAAUUUAGUUUAUUAUGCAUAUUAUUUUUUAUUAUAAGGCAUAUUAUUA